rnacentral:tRNA from 1 species
GCAAUGGUGGUUCAGUGAUAGAAUUCUCACCUUCCACGUGGGAGAUAAGGGUUUGAUUCCUGGCCAGUGCA